rnacentral:rRNA from 1 species
GUGAGGAAUAUUGGUCAAUGGACGGAAGUCUGAACCAGCCAUGCCGCGUGCAGGAAUAAGGUCCUAUGGAUUGUAAACUGCUUUUAUUCGGGAAUAAACCUCUUUACGUGUAGGGAGCUGAAGGUACCGAAGGAAUAAGCACCGGCUAACUCCGUGCCAGCAGCCGCGGUAAAACGGAGGGUGCAAGCGUUAUCCGGAAUCAUUGGGUUUAAAGGGUCCGCAGGCGGGCUAUCAAGUCAGAGGUGAAAUCCCACAGCUUAACUGUGGAACUGCCUUUGAAACUGAUGGUCUUGAAUUAAGUGGGCGUUGGCGGAAUAUGACAUGUAGCGGUGAAAUGCAUAGAUAUGUCAUGGAACACCGAAAGCGAAGGCAGCUAACGAUACUUAUAUUGACGCUCAUGGACGAAAGCGUGGGUAGCGAACAGGAUUAGAUACCCCAGUAGUCC